AAAAUCGGGGUAAGUGGGGUCGCAGUAAUUUGGUGAGACCUUGCUAUAAAAGGAAAAAAGGCAAGAAAAUUUGUCGAUAGCCCUCUCACAGACAUCGUCGCUUUCCUUCUUCUCGUCCAACAGUCACAUCUCCAGCAUUCCCCAUCGGAUGGUAAUCACAAACAACAAAACAUUUGAUUUUGGCUUCAGAGAUUCUCCACGAGAUUGCAACGACACUACAAUCUACUGUUGAGAAGGGGAUUGAGUUGUUAAGGAAGGAGAAUAUUUAUGAUGAUGUACUUUGUUUGGGGGAUCAUAACCCCACAUUUGUCAUAAAGGCAAUUGACUACUUUCCAGAAUCUAAAAACCAGGCAAUAGCAUUUUAUGCAUUGGCUCCGGGGUUGAGGAAGGCCUGGUUGGACAUGAAGUUGGGCUUGAGUGACUAAAAUUAAAACUUGCCAUGACUAAACAUGUUUUUUGGAAACAUUGUACAGCUUAAACAUGACAUGAUUGAACCUUUUCUUUUAUUUUGAAACACUACUGAACUAAACCUUUGUUUGAUGGAGUAAUCUUGAUGUUUUGGGAGCUGAAUCAUUAAAAAWUUGUGAUGAUGGAAAACAUGACCAAUACUUGCUUAUCUUAAAAUGCUUGAUUUGAACAA